CCUACGGGUGGCUGCAGUGGGGAAUAUUGCACAAUGGGCGAGACUCUGAUGCAGCAACGCCGCGUGAAGGAAGACGGUUUUCGGAUUGUAAACUUCUGUUUUUAGUGAAUAAUAAUUACGAUAGCUAAGGAGCAAUCCACGGCUAACUACGUACCAGCAACCGCCGUAAUACUUAGGUGGCACGCGUUGUCCGGAAUUACUGGGUGUAAAGGGAGCGCAGGCGGGAAGCCAAGUCAGCUGUGAAAACUACGGGCUUAACUUGUAGACUGCAUUUGAAACUGGUUUUCUUGAGUGAAGUAGAGGUUGGCGGAAGUCCGAGUGUAGCGGUGAAAUGCGUAGAUAUUCGGAGGAACACCGGUGGCGAAGGCGGCCAACUGGGUUUUAACUGACGCUGAGGCUCGAAAGUGUGGGGAGCAAACAGGAUUAGAUACCCUUGUAGUC
rnacentral:rRNA from 1 species